CGAGUGCUUGCCCCCUUGGUGGCGAGUGGCGAACGGGUGAGUAAUACAUCGGAACGUUGUCCUGUAGUGGGGGAUACGCCCGGCGAAAGCCGGAUUAAUACCGCAUACGAUCUACGGAUGAAAGCGGGGGAUCUUCGGACCUCGCGCUAUAGGGGCGGCCGAUGGCGGAUUAGCUAGUUGGUGAGGUAAAGGCUCACCAAGGCGACGAUCCGUAAGCUGGUNUGAAAAGGAACGACCAGCCACACUGGGACUGAGACACGGCCCAGAACUCCAUACGGGAGGCAGCAGUGGGGAAUUUUGGACAAUGGGGGAAACCCUGAUCCAGCAAUGCCGCGUGUGUGAAGAAGGCCUUCGGGUUGUAAAGCACUUUUGUCCGGAAAGAAAUCCUUGUNCCUAAUAUNNCGCGGGGGAUGACGGUACCGGAAGAAUAAGCACCGGCUAACUACGUGCCAGCAGCCGCGGGUAAUACGUAGGGUGCAAGCGUUAAUCGGAAUUACUGGGCGUAAAGCGUGCGCAGGCGGUGAUGUAAGACCGAUGUGAAAUCCCCCGGGGCUCAAACCUGGGAAACUUGCAUUGGGUGACCUUGCAUUCGCUUUGAGUUAUUGGCAAGAGGGGGGGGUAAGAAUUCCCACGUGUAGGCCAUUGAAAAUGCCGUAGAAGAUUU
rnacentral:rRNA from 1 species